UUACGGCCAUAUCACGUUUAAACAUCGGUUCUCGUACGAUCAUCGAUGUUAAGUAACGUAGAACCUAGUCAGUACCGAGAUGGGUAACCGCUUGGGUAUAUCAGGUGCUGUAA